rnacentral:tRNA from 1 species
AAGGGAGACCUAAUUCAGGUAGGAGACGAAAAAAAAGUAGUCCCAACCAAGAAUCAAUCCCAAAAGGUCGGAGCGAGGCGAAAUUGGCUUUCAAACUAGGUUCUGGGUUCACACAAGACCUGAAUCAGGAACAAGGGCUAUUAGCUCAGGUGGUUAGAGCGCACCCCUGAUAAGGGUGAGGUCCCUGGUUCGAGUCCAGGAUGGCCCACCUGCACAGGUGGCAAAAACAAGAGAAGCGAGGAAUCAGCACCUUAUCUUAUCUAUAUAUAAGAGAGAAUGCUGGCUCUGAGUAAAGAGUCCAGAGGAACCUUGAAAACUGCAUAGAGCUAGGUGAAAAAGCCAAAAAGAAGACCGCAA